UACGUAGGGGGCGAGCGUUAAUCGGAAUUACUGGGCGUAAAGCGUGCGCAGGCGGUUUUGUAAGUCUGACGUGAAAUCCCCGGGCUCAACCUGGGAAUUGCGUUGGAGACUGCAAGGCUGGAGUCUGGCAGAGGGGGGUAGAAUUCCACGUGUAGCAGUGAAAUGCGUAGAGAUGUGGAGGAACACCGAUGGCGAAGGCAGCCCCCUGGGUCAAGACUGACGCUCAUGCACGAAAGCGUGGGGAGCAAACAGG
rnacentral:rRNA from 1 species